GCACGGAUGGCCGAGUUGGUCUAAGGCGUUGGUCUCAAGUUCCAAUCUCGUAAGAGGCGCGAGUUCGAAUCUCGCUUCGUGCA